rnacentral:rRNA from 1 species
GGGGAAUAUUGGACAAUGGGGGCAACCCUGAUCCAGCCAUGCCGCGUGUGUGAAGAAGGCCUUUUGGUUGUAAAGCACUUUAAGCAGGGAGGAGAGGCUAAUGGUUAAUACCCAUUAGAUUAGACGUUACCUGCAGAAUAAGCACCGGCUAACUCUGUGCCAGCAGCCGCGGUAAUACAGAGGGUGCGAGCGUUAAUCGGAAUUACUGGGCGUAAAGCGAGUGUAGGUGGCUCAUUAAGUCACAUGUGAAAUCCCCGGGCUUAACCUGGGAACUGCAUGUGAUACUGGCGGUGCUAGAAUAUGUGAGAGGGAAGUAGAAUUCCAGGUGUAGCGGUGAAAUGCGUAGAGAUCUGGAGGAAUACCGAUGGCGAAGGCAGCUUCCUGGCAUAAUAUUGACACUGAGAUUCGAAAGCGUGGGUAGCAAACAGGAUUAGAUACCCUGGUAGUCCACGCCGUAAACGAUGUCUACUAGCCGUUGGGGUCCUUGAGACUUUAGUGGCGCAGUUAACGCGAUAAGUAGACCGCCUGGGGAGUACGGCCGCAAGGUUA